CGCUGAGUUGGUGGAGAAAGGAAGAC
rnacentral:piRNA from 1 species